UCAAACUUGGUCAUUUAGAGGAAGUAAAAGUCGUAACAAGGUUUCCGUAGGUGAACCUGCGGAAGGAUCAUUAAAGUAAAUUAUUUGAAGUGUUUAAAAGACACUUUAAAAAUCUAACUUUGUGGUAACAAUGAAAAACUAGAUUGGAUUUAAAGAUGAUAUUUGUUCUUUCUUAGAGAGGACGAGUAUCGAUCCAAACUUUUUUAUCAACUCUUUUUAUUAUUAGACUGAUUUAUCAAGUUAAACCUUUUGGUUUAUAAAAGUUUUUAAAUAACUUUCAACAACGGAUCUCUUGGUUCUCGCAUCGAUGAAGAACGCAGC
rnacentral:misc_RNA from 1 species